AGUAACUGCGAGUGAAGAGGGAAGAGCUCAUCAUUGGAAUCUGGCAGUGUUGCACUGUCCGAGUUGUAGAUGAGGAGUAGUCCGUCUGGACUGCAUGGCGUCCAAGUACAAUAGGCCGUCAGUGGGACAUCAUAGAGGGUGACAAUCCCGUCCUUGAUGCCAAUGUGCAAGUCCGUUACGAUGGCUAUCUCAGAGAGUCGAGCAGUUUGGGAUUUGCUGCUUAAACAUGGGAGGUAGAUUCCUUCUAAAGCUAAAUACAGGCGAGAGACCGAUAGAGAACAAGUACCGCAAGGGAAAGAUGAAAUAGAACUCUGUGAAGGGAGUCAAAAGGCGUGAAAUUGUUGCGAGAGAAGCGAUUCAAGUCAGCGUAGCUAGGCCCAUCAAGCGUCUUCGCUUUGGACUGGCUUUGCCAGCGGUCUUGUCCUUAGAGACUUGACUUUGUAUAUGUGUCCAGCCUGGUAUGCACAGGUAGCCCCUCUGGGGCCAGUGGCACAGCUGGUGGAAUGGCUUGCAAUCGACCCGUCUUGAAACACGGACCAAGGAGUCUAACAUGUAUGCGAGUAUAAGGGUGGCAAACCCGUAUGCGCAAUGAAAGUGAUUUUCGGUGAUUGAGAAUGGCCUGAUGACCAGACAAGCAAUACAUGUCCCUCGGACGGCCAUUGCCCAAGUUCCGUGGUAGAUCCCAUGAACAUGGAGUUGGAGCAUACAUGCUA
rnacentral:rRNA from 1 species